ACGAAGGGUGCAAGCGUUAAUCGGAAUUACUGGGCGUAAAGCGUGCGUAGAUGGUUCGAUCAGUCGGAUGUGAAAGCCCCGGGCUCAACCUGGGAACUGCAUCCGAUACUGUCGGACUAGAGUGUGAUAGAGGAUGGCGGAAUUCCCGGUGUAGCGGUGAAAUGCGUAGAGAUCGGGAGGAACAUCCGUGGCGAAGGCGGCCAUCUGGAUCAACACUGACGUUGAGGCACGAAAGCGUGGGGAGCAAACAGGAUUAGAUACCCUGGUAGUCCACGCCCUAAACGAUGUCGACUGGAUGUUGGGUGCAAUUUGGCACUCAGUAUCGAAGCUAACGCGUUAAGUCGACCGCCUGGGGAGUACGCGCGCAAGCGUG
rnacentral:rRNA from 1 species